rnacentral:rRNA from 1 species
CCCGUCACAUCACGAAAGUGGAUUGUACUAGAAGUCUGCACGCUAACCCGCAAGGGAGGCAGCGGCCCAAGGUAUGAUUCAUGAUUGGGGUGAAGUCGUAACAACGGUACC